GUUUGUAAUACAGUAAUUUGUUUCUUACAGAUGUCAAAGUCUCAACCUGAUGCUGCCCUCCCCCAUCCUCCUAAAGUUCAAUGGUGUGUGUUCUUCUAAUGGCCGCCUUCCCACUGGAGGUUUUGAUCCACAGCAAUUUAAAAGGAGGACAGAUCAAAACGGACAUCGGCGCAGAGUGAAGAACUGCCCUUCAUAAGGACACUAUGACAGCCAUAUAUAGUAAGUGAAGACUUUCUGUGUAUCUAAAAUUGCAUACAGCACAAGUAACUUACUUUGCAACCAUUAAAAUAGGUUGUAAAGUAAGUUACCAAUACAAAUAGGUGAUGAUGCAUU
ensembl:lncRNA